UGGGGAAUUUUGGACAAUGGGCGCAAGCCUGAUCCAGCAAUGCCGCGUGAGUGAAGAAGGCCUUCGGGUUGUAAAGCUCUUUUGUCAGGGAAGAAACGGUGAGAGCUAAUAUCUUUCACUAAUGACGGUACCUGAAGAAUAAGCACCGGCUAACUACGUGCCAGCAGCCGCGGUAAUACGUAGGGUGCAAGCGUUAAUCGGAAUUACUGGGCGUAAAGCGUGCGCAGGCGGUUUUGUAAGUCUGAUGUGAAAUCCCCGGGCUCAACCUGGGAAUUGCAUUGGAGACUGCAAGGCUAGAGUUUGGCAGAGGGGGGUAGAAUUCCACGUGUAGCAGUGAAAUGCGUAGAUAUGUGGAGGAACACCGAUGGCGAAGGCAGCCCCCUGGGUCAAGACUGACGCUCAUGCACGAAAGCGUGGGGAGCAAACAG
rnacentral:rRNA from 1 species